CAGCAUCUCUGGAUCAGAACCCUGCAGAAACAAAAACACUGAUGAUCACCUGACUCAAUUAAAACGACGGCCGGGACUUUAACACAACGGUACACAAGUGACAACAGCUAACACGCUAACAGCUAACACGCUAACAGCUAACACGCUAACAGCUAACAGCAACGGUGGAGGAUGAAGCGUCUUCUGGUCCACUGGGGUUCAGUUCUGCUUUUAAACGAUCUGAUUGGACGCUGGAAAAGACUCUGUUUGUGUUCAAGUUGAGCUACAAGGAAUGUGAAGCUAUUCAAGCCUAAAGUAGCAUCUCAACGCUAGCAUGUAGCAGCUAACGCUAACGUUAGCAUCCGCAGUAAACAUUUUAAAGAAGCUCCAUGAAUGAUGAGAGAAACUCUGGAGAGAUGAAGGGAUAGAAAAACACUUUGCUCCAAUCUGUUGAAGAGCAAAUUAAUAAAUAUCUCUUGUCUAUUUAUUCAACAA